rnacentral:snRNA from 1 species
GUGGCACUGGCUUUGGCAACACAUACAUUAAAAGUGGAACAAUACAGAGAUUAACAUGGUCCCUGCACACAGAUGACAUGCAAGUUCAUGAUACAUUCUGAACCUUA